CCUACGGGGGGCUGCAGUAGGGAAUCUUCCACAAUGGGCGAAAGCCUGAUGGAGCAACGCCGCGUGGGUGAAGAAGGUCUUCGGAUCGUAAAACCCUGUUGUUAGAGAAGAAAGUGCGUGAGAGUAACUGUUCACGUUUCGACGGUAUCUAACCAGAAAGCCACGGCUAACUACGUGCCAGCAGCCGCGGUAAUACGUAGGUGGCAAGCGUUAUCCGGAUUUAUUGGGCGUAGGGGGAACGCAGUCGGUCUUUUAAGUCUAAUGUGAAUGCCGUCGGCUUAACAGUCAUAGUGCAUGGGAAACUGGGAGGCUCGAGAGCAGAAGAGGAAACUGGAACUUCAGGUGUAGGGGUGAAAGGCGUAGAUAUAUGGAAGAACACCAGUGGCGAAGGCGGGUUUCUGGUAUGUAACUGACACUGAGGUUCGAAAGCGUAGGUAGCAAACGGGAUUAGAUACCCGUGUAGUC
rnacentral:rRNA from 1 species